AUCAACGCUGGCGGCGUGCCUAACACAUGCAAGUCGAGCGAGAAAGGGGCUUCGGCCCUGAGUACAGCGGCGCACGGGUGAGUAACACGUGGGUAAUCUGCCUCGGAGCGGGGAAUAACACCGGGAAACCGGUGCUAAUACCGCAUACGAUCGCGGGGUCUUCGGACUCGGCGAUGAAAGGCGCAAGUCGCUCUGAGAGGAGCCCGCGGCCGAUUAGCUAGUUGGUGAGGUAAUGGCUCACCAAGGCUACGAUCGGUAGCCGGUCUGAGAGGACGGUCGGCCACACUGGAACUGAGACACGGUCCAGACUCCUACGGGAGGCAGCAGUGGGGAAUUUUUGGCAAUGGGGGAAACCCUGACCAAGCAACGCCGCGUGGGUGAUGAAGUCCCUUGGGACGUAAAACCCUUUCGACAGGAAAGAACCCGCAAGGUUGACGGUACCUGUAGAAGAAGCCCCGGCUAACUCCGU
rnacentral:rRNA from 1 species